UGCCAUCACUCUGCCUGUCCUGAAAUGCAGCCGCCUCUGACAGAGAACAGCUUGUGCACCAGGAGUCAACCACUCUCAGAAAAGGAAGAGCCAGCCAGUUAUUUUGUGCUACCAAAGGAGAAAAAAAUAAAGCAAAAACAAAGCUCAGCACCAAGCAGAGGUCAGAGACUAAUUAAGUUUCCUUUCAAGAGAGAAUGCUAUGAAAUGAAGCCUGUGUGAACAGUGGAGUGGCUGGUAAAUCAUCAUCAGGCAUAAUUACCUCGGAAAUAGAGCUGGGAGAUAUAUUUGCAACAGAUUUACUUUUCCCAUUCCCUCCUCCCCAAUCUUUAGGAGAAAAAAUAUGAAACAAAUUAAAACUGCCCUAGUGAAGAUACAGCCUGAGACUCUUAUCACUCACGUGCCUCAUUAAGGGGAAGAUGAUGACCAAAGCAAGGCACUCACCCCUACCUUCUUGUGAUGCUUCCCAGCAGAAAUCCCGACCCACCUGCAAAGCCGAAAAAGCCCCUUUCUCCCACCUCCACUGGGCUUUAAAGAGCCCAGGUUGCUUGAGGAAUGUGCUGUGUGAUUGGUAGGGCACCCAUCACAUGAGGAAAACUUUUUUUCUAGCCAAACCUGUUUCCUGAUCCCCAGUGGGACUGGAGGGUGUCUCUGUGAUUCUCAGAUCGUAUCGGAAUGCUGUUGUGCUGAAAACACAAAGCUUUAAAGAAUUUCUGUUAUUAUGCUUUUGAAAGGGUGGAUGUAUGACUCACUCCUAUGAGAUACUUGAACUUUAAAGAGGAUGGGCAAGUUGGAAUGAUGUAAAUAUAAAUAUUAGAAUUGCUGGACUGCUGGUUGAACAUGCAUAUAAGAAGAAUGUACUGACUAGAAAAGAGAGUAAAUGAAUUUUAAUGUUUCCAUUUAAUUACGUUGCAUGGGGAAAAUCCAGUGGUUUAGGUUGGAUCCAUCUUCAUUUUAUUUAGGUAAAGAUUUUACUUUGGAAACAGAAGCGUAGGUGUUGACUACUCUGCAAGACACUGUGGAUAACAUUAAAAAUGGGGGGACUAUUGCAUACCCUGGGGUCCUUUGGAUUUUCAACACAUUCAAUCUUAUUAAGACCGAGCAAGUCAAGCACAGAUAUAUAUACAUUAAUUGGCUUGUGAUGAACUGAGAUGGACUGAGCCUGAGGAGCACAGCAGAAAAGGAAUGUCUCUCACCUUCCUCUCUCUCACCCACUCCAGCACAAGUCUGCCAAAAGUCAUCAUUCCUGUUACUGGAGCCUUGAGCAAAUCUCUGGCAAAAGUGCGGGUGCUUGUGCUUAGUGUUCGUCAUCUGCUGGUACAAAACCCAGACAAAUUAAUAAUGGGAAUAAGGGUGAUGAGAGCUUCAUGUUUUUACAGCCCUUCACCAAUCAAAAGCAAACAUCAAAAGAAUAUAUGUGUCUUUCCUUGGUAGCCAUCCUUGCAAAUAUCUUGUGGGAACUUAGUGAGAACUGCAAUAGGUCUAAUGUUUUAUGGAUCCCCUUGGUACUUGGAGACAACUGAAGACAGAUCCAGCUCUCCCAUGAGAUCCCCAUGAGAUUUCACCCUGAAGAAGGGAGAGAGCUUUUGGCAUUUCCAGAUCCUUGAGGCAUCACAGUGAUAAACAAAAGAAGACCUGGCCAUUGCAGCCAGCCUGAUCGAGUAGACAGGGACAAGAAAUUCGACACUUGGGU